AACGCGAAGAACCUUACCUGGUCUUGACAUCCCGGUGACCGCAGAGUAAUGUCUGCUUUCCUUCGGGACACUGGAGACAGGUGGUGCAUGGUUGUCGUCAGCUCGUGUCGUGAGAUGUUGGGUUAAGUCCCGCAACGAGCGCAACCCCUAUCUUUAGUAGCCAGCAUUUAAGGUGGGCACUCUAGAGAGACUGCCAGGGAUAACUUGGAGGAAGGUGGGGAUGACGUCAAAUCAUCAUGCCCCUUAUGACCAGGGCUACACACGUGCUACAAUGGCGUAAACAAAGGGAAGCGAGACCGCGAGGUGGAGCAAAUCCCAAAAAUAACGUCUCAGUUCGGAUUGUAGUCUGCAACUCGACUACAUGAAGCUGGAAUCGCUAGUAAUCGCGAAUCAGAAUGUCGCGGUGAAUACGUUCCCGGGUCUUGUACACACCG
rnacentral:rRNA from 1 species